AGAUAAUCAUCGUGCAAAACUUCAUGUUAAACGAUAAUUAGCCAGCAUACCGAAAUUAUUAGGCCCGCAGCCAGCGUAAAUCGGUGCUGAUUGGUUGCAAACACUGAAGAGCUACGGAUGAAUUUAACUACAAAGGGAUUGUGCUGGCUUUAGUACUGCAAUGCGAAAUAUCAACAUAUCCUGAAAAUAUCUACUACCAUUAGAAUAAAAAUAAAUCUCAUAAUUUUUUAUACUAUAUUUAUUUGUGCUGAUUAUAAUUUAAUCUAAGGUCAUCAUCAUUUAUUUUAGUGCCAACUAGUGAAACGUAUAAGAAUAACAUUAGUCUUAUAGCCUAGGCAUGUGAACAAUUGAUGACAUUAUUACGACAAGUCCUAAAGGUGUCAAGCUUUAUCGAAAAUUUUAAAAUAAAUAAGUAAGCGAAGAGUAGGUCACCAUAAAGGGAAGUGAUACUGUGUAAGUGUUGUUAAUGUAGGUACAAAACACAGAUAUAUCCAAGUACUACACAAACUCACGCUAAUUCUAAUAUUAGGUAGAAUAUUAUUUGUUUGCAAACAGAAUUACCUAUAAAUACUUUAAUUAGUGCCUAUAGUUACACUUUACUCGGACAAAUAAUCGGACAUCUCGGUUUCAAUUCGCAUAUCUAAACCUCCAUAUGCCAUAACUACACUCUAAACAAUGUCACUAUAUAUUGAUUGAAGAUGAACAAAUGUAACAUCUUGCAUCUCGUCUUAUUGCGUUUCUUAUAUACUACCUACUUACCUACUCAUCGACGUGACCUAUCAAUGAGCAGCAAUAAUUUAUAAAUUUUAAUAAAAAUUGUCCUUGCUUACUCAGUUACAUACUACAUUUAGUUUAUUUUUACAUACUACAUAACCAGCUAAAUUUUACGCGAACUCUCACAGAUGUCGCCACAUGUAGGCACAAAACAGUGUUAUGAAUUUUCAGUAGAUUGUUCUUAUUUUCGAAAUUGUUUCGAAAAUCAGCCUUUUUAUCUGCUGUCAAACUAUCUUUCCGUUAAUAACUUUACAUCGGUAUACAGUUUAAGAAAAAAUCUCAAAAUACCUCAAUGUUAACUACCUCCCCCCAGUAAGAAAGCACGCUGAUUGUAUUUUAGAAGCUAUACUUAUAUUCAGAAAGAAAAAAGAGACCCUAACAUUUUUUUCAUUAUUCGUUAAUCUUUCCGUAUUCCCAUCGAUAAAUCGCGCACCGCCAAGAAUGGAAAGAAUUUUAAGGCGGCCCGGGGAGAAAUUUUAACUUAUGGAUCAAGCAGAUGCUGUCAACUUGUGGCCAGUAUAGUAUAUGUAUAGUCGCUUAUGUUAGUGUAGUAACUCAUGUUCAUCCCCGAAAUUCAAACUUAAACUACUUUCCAAACUUUUCAAUAAAUAAGAAUAUAAUAUAUUUUUUAUCUAUUUAGGUAUUAUUCAA